GUCUCUGGUGGGUGGGGGGAAGAGGGAGUUGCCGCUGACCUCAGGGGAAUUGCCUUGUGGAUGACAAAGCAGACCCAGAGAUGUUGUGAGGUCAUUUGGUCCUUCCCCCUACCUCUAGGUGGGAUUGUUCCAGCCCUAGACUAUCUUUAUAGACCUCCAGCGGAGGAGAUUGCACAAGCUCCCUCAGUCUCCCAUGCCUGUGUCUAACGCCCCUCACGAAACAUACAUAGAAUUUUAUUAUAGCUUCUGCGAGACCAACUGUCAGUCCACGCCCAGCCUGUCAGUCAUUCAGUCUUUGCAAGCCACUGUCACACAGAAGCAGAAGCCUUGGAAUACAAAAGACCACCCUGUGACUCAGCCAAAGACUGACUUUAACAGACGCAAAAUGCUAUAUACAUGAAGAUGUUUGCUGCAAUUUUAUCUGUAACAGCAAAAAAAAAAAA